rnacentral:rRNA from 1 species
UACGGAGGGGACUAGCGUUGUUCGGAAUUACUGGGCGUAAAGGGCGCGUAGGCGGCCACCGCAAGUCAGUUGUGAAAUCUCCGAGCUUAACUCGGAAAGGUCAACUGAUACUGUGCGGCUAGAGUGCGGAAGGGGCAACUGGAAUUCUUGGUGUAGCGGUGAAAUGCGUAGAUAUCAAGAGGAACACCUGCGGCGAAGGCGGGUUGCUGGGCCGACACUGACGCUGAGGCGCGAAAGCCAGGGGAGCGAACGGG